GGGAAGAGGUCUGGAAAAACUCCAAUUACUCAGGGUAACUGCCAUCCAAAACUGGCCCUGACCAUGUCACAAGAAAUGCCUAGGCAUAAUGGGGUACCACAGGGGAUUUAUCUUGCAUUUUGACAGAUAGGCGGAUUCUCAGAACACCCAGACAGACAAGGCCAGAACCAGAAGACAUAAAACAAGCCUCAGCCAUCAGCUGAUCUGUUGUAAGAGAGUCAGCAGAAAUGAGGGAUGUAAGCAAUAGAGAGAGGCAAAGGAAUGAAGUCAACAAGAGCAUAGAACAGAAAACAGGAAUCUACAAUUUCAGUCCCUCCAGGCUGAACACAUCCACAGCUUCACACAAGGUGCCAAAAUGUUGGAUUUCUAUUUUCUUCCUCAACCUGCAAGGAAAAUAAAGUAAUGGAAAC